rnacentral:rRNA from 1 species
UACGAAGGGAGCUAGCGUUGUUCGGAAUUACUGGGCGUAAAGGGCGCGUAGGCGGUUUAGUAAGUCAGAUGUGAAAGCCCCGGGCUUAACCUGGGAACAGCAUUUGAUACUGCUAGACUUGAGAUCGAAAGAGGAGAGUGGAAUUGCGAGGGUAGAGGUGAAAUUCGUAGAUAUUCGCAGGAACACCAGUGGCGAAGGCGACUCUCUGGUUCGAUACUGACGCUAAGGCGCGAAAGCGUGGGGAGCAAACAGG